rnacentral:rRNA from 1 species
GAGUUUGAUCGUGGCUCAGGACGAACGCUGGCGGCGUGCUUCAUACAUGCAAGUCGAACGAGGUCCAUCGAGUGGCAACACUCGUGAAGACCUAGUGGCGAACGGGUGAGUAACACGUGAGGAACCUGCCCCGAUCUCUGGGAGUAACAGUGGGAAACCGCUGCUAAUACCAGAUGGGCUCGGACGACGACAUCGUCAACCGAGGAAAGCUUUUGCGGACCGGGAGGGCCUCGCGGCCUAUCAGCUUGUUGGUGGGGUAACGGCCUACCAAGGCAUCGACGGGUAGCUGGUCUGAGAGGACGACCAGCCACACUGGGACUGAGACACGGCCCAGACUCCUACGGGAGCAGCAGUAGGGAAUCUUGCGCAAUGGGCGAAAGCCUGACGCAGCAACGCCGCGUGGGGGAUGAAGGCCCUCGGGUUGUAAACCCCUUUCAGCAGGAACGAAUCUGACGGUACCUGCAGAAGAAGGUCCGGCCAACUACGUGCCAGCCGCCGCAGU